UCUAUGCAAUGGGUAAUUUUAGGUUUUUGAAGCUAGUAACAGAAGUUAUGAUUGCAGGCAUUUAGAAGGCUUUACGAGGAAGUGGGACUUGGAUGGGUUUCUGCUGUUACUAAAUACGAACCUGUAGGUACCAUAGCAAAUGCAGUAUAUGGUGUAUGGGCCAAAUACCGCAUGGAAGUUACAGGUCGACCUCCAUUGGAGGAGAUUUUUGCAGCUCGAAGACAAGCGGUUAUUCGGCUUUAUCUCUUCUUCUGCAACUUCCAGUAGCGGGCAAGACUUUUUUUUUUGGAAGGGAGGCAAAAGUAUUUUUCCUCCAUUAAUUAAUUAAGGAUAAUAGUUCAGACAAAUACAAAAACCAAAAAAGAGCACAUGGUAACUACUCUCUCAAUAUUAAAACACUUGAAUGUUUCGCGCCCGUGGUGACCCAAAUCUUUGCUUCAUGUUUGAUUGUCUUUAGUAGAAUCGUCGUUGGGGCGGAUUUAUUAUGGAAGACUCGCGUUUCUUUUGUUCCAAAUUGUCCAACUAGUGAGCAUUGUGAGGGUUGCCAUGGCCUUGCGGUUGGGGGUGUUUUUUUCUUGACAUACUGGCACACCAAGUGUCAAUGGAGAUCUCCACCGACCAAUCGUUGGUGUUAAAAUAGUCCAUACCAAUCCACUCUUUGAUCAUCCCACUAACUUGAGUUUGUUGACUGUUUUUUUCCUUUGCUAGGGUGAAUGUAAAGAUGAUAAAGCAUGCAAGAUGUGAACAGCAAAGUGCUAGUCUUCGCCACUCUGCACAUUUUCACUUCUACAUAGUGUAUGUUUAAGAUAGGUGCAUAAUAUACAUAGCUAGUCUUAACUCCAACUGGUUUCGAGAUUGAUGAUAUGAUGCUGUUCGGUGUCGGAGAGUAGUAAAUAAUCCAUGACCUGUACACUCUUUCCAUACGAAAGACAAGCAGCUUAGGAUUCCCCGUGAACGGAAAGAUUACCCCAUGGAAGGAUGAUAAGGAACCAACGAGCUCUAUAUGUUAUCUUGAACGGUUGAACCUCUCGUUUGCUGGUCUUCUCACCUCCCCAAACUCCCAGUUUCUCUAGCGCAUUUCGAAUCAGCCGGCAGCCGCUGCCAGUGUUGUCCACGCGAUGGAGAAAGGAUGAAGACCUACCGACAGCGGGUGAU